CACAGUGGUUUCUGGGAUUAUG
rnacentral:miRNA from 11 species